rnacentral:rRNA from 1 species
UGCCAGCAGCCGCGGUAAUACGUAGGGUGCGAGCGUUAAUCGGAAUUACUGGGCGUAAAGCGUGCGCAGGCGGUUAUAUAAGACAGAUGUGAAAUCCCCGGGCUCAACCUGGGACCUGCAUUUGUGACUGUAUAGCUAGAGUACGGUAGAGGGGGAUGGAAUUCCGCGUGUAGCAGUGAAAUGCGUAGAUAUGCGGAGGAACACCGAUGGCGAAGGCAAUCCCCUGGACCUGUACUGACGCUCAUGCACGAAAGCGUGGGGAGCAAACAGGAUUAGAUACCCUGGUAGUCCACGCCCUAAACGAUGUCAACUGGUUGUUGGGUCUUCACUGACUCAGUAACGAAGCUAACGCGUGAAGUUGACCGCCUGGGGAGUACGGCCGCAAGGUUGAAACUUAAAGGAAUUGGCGG